rnacentral:rRNA from 1 species
AUUGAACGCUGGCGGCAUGCCUUACACAUGCAAGUCGAACGGCAGCGGGCCUUCGGGUGCCGGCGAGUGACGAACGGGUGAGUAAUGCAUCGGAACGUGCCAUUGAGUGGGGGGAUAACGUAGCGAAAGUUGCGCUAAUACCGCAUAUUCUGUGAGCAGGAAAGCAGGGGACCGCAAGGCCUUGCGCUCUUUGAGCGGCCGAUGUCAGAUUAGCUAGUUGGUGAGGUAAAGGCUUACCAAGGCGACGAUCUGUAGCGGGUCUGAGAGGAUGAUCCGCCACACUGGAACUGAGACACGGUCCAGACUCCUACGGGAGGCAGCAGUGGGGAAUUUUGGACAAUGGGGGCAACCCUGAUCCAGCCAUGCCGCGUGAGUGAAGAAGGCC